AACGAACGCUGGCGGCGUGGUUUAGGCAUGCAAGUCGAGCGAGAAAGUCCUCGGACGAGUACAGCGGCGAAAGGGUAGGAGUAAUAUAUAGGUAACCUACCUCUUGGACUCGGAUAAUUCCUGGAAACGGGUUAGUAAUACGAGAUCGUCCUAUUGGGUCGCAUGGCCCGACUGGUAAAUGGUAGCUCUGCUUCUGCCGAGAGAGGGGCCUAUAUCCUAUUAGCUAGUUGGUGAGGUAAUGGCUCACCAAGGCUUUGAUGGGUAGCCGGACUGAGAGGUUGGCCGGUCACACUGGGACUGAGACACUGCCCAGACUCCUACGGGAGGCUGCAGUCGAGAAUCUUCCGCAAUGGGCGAAAGCCUGACGGGGCGACGCCGCGUGAACGAAGAAGGCCUCGGUUGUAAGUUACUGUC
rnacentral:rRNA from 1 species